GGCUUAGAAGCAGCCAUGCAUUCAAAGAGUGCGUAACAGCUCACUGGUCGAGUGGGGGCGCGCCGACAAUGCGCGGGGCUCAAGCACGGCGCCGAAGCGGCGGAAUCAAGUAAUUGAUUGGUAGGGGAGCUUUCCAUGCCGGGCGAAGCCGGAGGCGCGAGCCCCGGUGGACGGCAUGGAAGUGAGGAUGCAGGCAUGAGUAGCGAGAGAGCGGCGAGAAACCGCUCCGCCGAAAACCCAAGGUUUCCUGGGCGAGGCUAAUCCCCCCAGGGUCAGCCGGGAGCUAAGGCGAGGCCGAGAGGCGCAGCCGAUGCACGACGGGCAGACAUUCCCGUGCCGGCGCGGGCGCGCUACGACCGAUGGGACGACGGGGAAGGAUACGCGGGCGGGGUUCUGGACGUCCCCGUGAAAGCGCGUAGGGAGGGGCCCAGGGAAAUCCGGUCCCCGCAUAUCCCGAGACGCGAGACGAGCCGCACGGCGAAGUCGCGGAUUCCAUGCCUCCUAGAAAAAUCCCUAGGCAGCGCCCACGCCGCCCGUACCAAAACCGACACAGGUGGGUAGGAAGAGCAUUCCGAGGCGAUCGGGGCAACCAUGGUCAAGGAACUCGGCAUAAUCGUCCCGUAACUUAGGGAGAAGGGACGCCCCCCAGCGUGUACCGGCUCGCCCGGGAAGCGCCGGGGGGCCGCAGCGAAAGGGCCCAAGCGACUGUUUACCAAAAACACAGGACUCUGCCAAGCCGCGAGGCGAAGUAUAGGGUCUGACGCCUGCCCGGUGCCGGAAGGUCACGGGGAUCCGUUAGCCUUUGGCGAAGCGGUGAACCCAAGCCCCGGUAAACGGCGGCCGUAACUAUAACGGUCCUAAGGUAGCGAAAUUCCUUGUCGGGUAAGUUCCGACCUGCACGAACGGCGCAACGACUUGGGCGCUGUCUCGACCAUGGGCCCGGCGAAAUUGCAUUAUCCGUGAAGAUGCGGAUUCCCCGCGGAAGGACGGAAAGACCCCGUGAACCUUUACUGCAGCUUGGCAUUGGCCGCAGGCGCGGCGCGUAGAGGAUAGGCAGGAGGCAGUGAAGCCGGGGCGCCAGCCCCGGUGGAGCCGACCUUGGAAUACUGCCCCCGUCGCGUCGGCGGCCUAACCCGGGGACGGCCCGGGGACCGUGCCAGGCGGGCAGUUUGACUGGGGCGGUCGCCUCCCAAAGAGUAACGGAGGCGCGCGCAAGGUCCGCUCAGGACGGUCGGCAACCGUCCGCGGAGCGCAAGAGCACAAGCGGGCCUGACUGCGAGGCAGACAAGCCGAGCAGGGACGAAAGUCGGCUCUAGUGAUCCGGCGGCCCCGAGUGGAAGGGCCGUCGCUCAACGGAUAAAAGGUACUCCGGGGAUAACAGGCUGAUCUUGCCCAAGAGUCCACAUCGACGGCAAGGUUUGGCACCUCGAUGUCGGCUCAUCGCAUCCUGGGGCUGGAGUCGGUCCCAAGGGUACGGCUGUUCGCCGUUUAAAGCGGUACGCGAGCUGGGUUCAGAACGUCGUGAGACAGUUCGGUCCCUAUCCUCCGCGGGCGCAGGAGAAUUGAGGAGGGCUGCCCCUAGUACGAGAGGACCGGGGCGGACGGGCCUCUGGUGUCCCGGUUGUCGACCAACGGCACGGCCGGCUAGCCACGCCCGGAACGGAUAACCGCUGAAGGCAUCUAAGCGGGAAGCCGUCUCCGAGAUGAGUUCUCCCUUCGGUAAGCCCCCAUGUAGAACACGUGGUCGAUAGGCCGCAGCUGCAAGCGCCGCGAGGCGUUCAGGCGAGCGGUACUAAUAGGGCGAGCCCUUGCACCC
rnacentral:rRNA from 1 species